rnacentral:rRNA from 1 species
UACGUAGGGUGCAAGCGUUGUCCGGAAUUAUUGGGCGUAAAGAGCUCGUAGGCGGUCUGUCGCGUCUGCCGUGAAAACUCGGGGCUUAACCCCGGGCCUGCAGUGGGUACGGGCAGACUAGAGUGCGGUAGGGGAGACUGGAAUUCCUGGUGUAGCGGUGAAAUGCGCAGAUAUCAGGAGGAACACCGGUGGCGAAGGCGGGUCUCUGGGCCGUAACUGACGCUGAGGAGCGAAAGCGUGGGGAGCGAACAGG